rnacentral:rRNA from 1 species
AGGAUGAACGCUGGCGGCGUGCUUAACACAUGCAAGUCGAACGGUGAAGCCAAGCUUGCUUGGUGGAUCAGUGGCGAACGGGUGAGUAACACGUGAGCAACCUGCCCUGGACUCUGGGAUAAGCGCUGGAAACGGCGUCUAAUACUGGAUAUGAGCUCUCAUCGCAUGGUGGGGGUUGGAAAGAUUUUUCGGUCUGGGAUGGGCUCGCGGCCUAUCAGCUUGUUGGUGAGGUAAUGGCUCACCAAGGCGUCGACGGGUAGCCGGCCUGAGAGGGUGACCGGCCACACUGGGACUGAGACACGGCCCAGACUCCUACGGGAGGCAGCAGUGGGGAAUAUUGCACAAUGGGCGGAAGCCUGAUGCAGCAACGCCGCGUGAGGGAUGACGGCCUUCGGGUUGUAAACCUCUUUUAGCAGGGAAGAAGCGAGAGUGACGGUACCUGCAGAAAAAGCGCCGGCUAACUACGUGCCAGCAGCCGCGGUAAUACGUAGGGCGCAAGCGUUAUCCGGAAUUAUUGGGCGUAAAGAGCUCGUAGGCGGUUUGUCGCGUCUGCUGUGAAAUCCCGAGGCUCAACCUCGGGCCUGCAGUGGGUACGGGCAGACUAGAGUGCGGUAGGGGAGAUUGGAAUUCCUGGUGUAGCGGUGGAAUGCGCAGAUAUCAGGAGGAACACCGAUGGCGAAGGCAGAUCUCUGGGCCGUAACUGACGCUGAGGAGCGAAAGGGUGGGGAGCAAACAGGCUUAGAUACCCUGGUAGUCCACCCCGUAAACGUUGGGAACU